rnacentral:rRNA from 1 species
CCCAGACUCCUACGGGAGGCAGCAGUGGGGAAUAUUGCACAAUGGGGGAAACCCUGAUGCAGCGACGCCGCGUGAGUGAAGAAGUAUUUCGGUAUGUAAAGCUCUAUCAGCAGGGAAGAAAAAAGACGGUACCUGACUAAGAAGCCCCGGCUAACUACGUGCCAGCAGCCGCGGUAAUACGUAGGGGGCAAGCGUUAUCCGGAAUUACUGGGUGUAAAGGGAGCGUAGACGGUGAAGUAAGUCUGGAGUGAAAGGCGGGGGCCCAACCCCCGGACUGCUCUGGAAACUAUUUGACUGGAGUGCAGGAGAGGUAAGCGGAAUUCCUAGUGUAGCGGUGAAAUGCGUAGAUAUUAGGAGGAACACCAGUGGCGAAGGCGGCUUACUGGACUGUAACUGACGUUGAGGCUCGAAAGCGUGGGGAGCAAACAGGAUUAGAUACCCGGGUAAU